rnacentral:piRNA from 1 species
AAUUAGUUUUUGUAUUGGAAGGGCU